rnacentral:rRNA from 1 species
GACGGAGGGUGCAAACGUUGUUCGGAAUUACUGGGCGUAAAGCGCGCGCAGGCGGCCAAGUAAGUCGGGUGUGAAAGCCCACGGCUCAACCGUGGAAGUGCACUCGAAACUGCAUAGCUAGAGUCCUGGAGAGGAAGGUGGAAUGCUUGGUGUAGAGGUGAAAUUCGUAGAUAUCAAGCGGAACACCAGUGGCGAAGGCGGCCUUCUGGACAGUGACUGACGCUGAGACGCGAAAGCGUGGGGAGCGAACAGG